AAAGAACCCAACAGGGAUUGCCUCAGUAACGGCGAGUGAAGCGGCAACAGCUCAAAUUUGAAAUCUGGCCUCUUUGGGGUCCGAGUUGUAAUUUGUAGAGGAUGUUUCGGGUACCGCCUCGGUCUAAAUUUCUUGGAACAGAAUGUCAGAGAGGGUGAGAAUCCCGUCUUGGACCGGCGGUAGGGCCCAUGUGAAACUCCUUCGACGAGUCGAGUUGUUUGGGAAUGCAGCUCAAAAUGGGUGGUAAAUUUCAUCUAAAGCUAAAUAUUGGCCAGAGACCGAUAGCGCACAAGUAGAGUGAUCGAAAGAUGAAAAGCACUUUGAAAAGAGAGUUAAACAGUAUGUGAAAUUGUUGAAAGGGAAGCGCUUACAACCAGACUUGAGCGCGGCGGUUCCCCCUUCCUUUUGGUUGGGUUACUCCGUCGUGUCCAGGCCAACAUCGGUUCUGGGGGUCGGUUAAAGGCCUUGGGAAUGUAUCUACCCUUCGGGCGUAGACUUAUAGCCCAGGGUGUCAUGCGGCCUCCCGGGACCGAGGAACGCGCUUCGGCUCGGAUGUUGGCGUAAUGGUUGUCAGCGACCCGUCUUGAAACACGGACCAAGGAGUCUAACAUCUAUGCGAGUGUUUGGGUGUCAAACCCGGAACGCGAAAUGAAAGUGAACGGAGGUAGGAAGCCCUGAGGCUGCACUAUCGACCGAUCCUGAUGUCUUCGGAUGGAUUUGAGUAAGAGCAUAGCUGUUGGGACCCGAAAGAUGGUGAACUAUGCCUGAAUAGGGUGAAGCCAGAGGAAACUCUGGUGGAGGCUCGCAGCGGUUCUGACGUGCAAAUCGAUCGUCAAAUUUGGGUAUAGGGGCGAAAGACUAAUCGA
rnacentral:rRNA from 1 species